rnacentral:rRNA from 1 species
UGGGGAAUAUUGCACAAUGGGCGAAAGCCUGAUGCAGCAACGCCGCGUGAGUGAUGAAGGUCUUCGGAUUGUAAAGCUCUGUCUUUUGGGACGAUAAUGACGGUACCAAAGGAGGAAGCCACGGCUAACUACGUGCCAGCAGCCGCGGUAAUACGUAGGUGGCGAGCGUUGUCCGGAUUUACUGGGCGUAAAGGGUGCGUAGGCGGAUGUUUAAGUGAGAUGUGAAAUACCCGGGCUUAACUUGGGUGCUGCAUUUCAAACUGGAUAUCUAGAGUGCAGGAGAGGAGAAUGGAAUUCCUAGUGUAGCGGUGAAAUGCGUAGAGAUUAGGAAGAACACCAGUGACGAAGGCGAUUCUCUGGACUGUAACUGACGCUGAGGCACGAAAGCGUGGGUAGCAAACAGGAUUAGAUACCCUGGUAGUCCACGCCGUAAACGAUGAGUACUAGGUGUAGGAGGUAUCGACCCCUUCUGU